GCGCGGAGGAAUGUUGUCCCAAUUGGCUUUGAUGUAUGUUUGAAUGAGGUUCCCACCAGUGGUUGAAAUCAUUUUGGUGGAAUUGAGUGCCCAUAUAAUCAAUUUCUUGUUUAAACUGCAUUCUGCAAAUGUUAGGCACACAACCCUAGAAAGCAUUUAUUAACAAACAUAAAAAUAAACAUCAAAUCAAGUCAAACUCAAUUAAUCCACAG
rnacentral:lncRNA from 1 species